UCGCGACACGUGGCCCCAUCAACGGCCAGCGCUGUGCGUCGCUAGCGCUUCUUUCAUUCAAAUUGGCGCGCCCUUCCACUGUUCCUUCAUCUUCUUCAUUUGACUCCCAGACUCUCUGCGAACCUCUCUUCUGCGCACCCAUCUUUCUUCAAAUUCUCUGUGAUCCUAAACUCUUACGAUCAUCCAAAGGUAUGGUUUUUCUUUUCCCUGGCCCCUUUUUGGUCAUCUUUACCGAUUGCAUUUAUCAUUCUAGUUAUCAUGCAUCCAUCUUCCCUGUUUUUCUUCUUCUCAACCCGCGCUAGGGUUUUUCUCAUGUUUCCGCUUUGACUUCUG
rnacentral:lncRNA from 1 species